GUGAAAAGGGUUAAAAGGAGCUGUUGGCAAUCAUCUUAGGUGGGCGGGUGAGUCCAGAGUACAGACUCUGUCAGAGAGGUCAAAGCCUGGGGCUUUUCAGAGAAGGGAGGAUUAUGGGUUUUCUAAUUACAUAAGUCAGAAGUAGAAAAAGGGACACAAACUAAGAAGGGUGCUGAGCGCUCGUCACCUGGAGGGACUUGUGCCUCUCUCAGUGGUAGUAGAGGGGCUACUUCUUCCUGCCACGGUCAUGAUUGAGAGGCAACGGGUGGCGAGUCUACAGGGGACGUCGUCGAGCAGACAUGGGAUAACUUUAAGGGAGAAGGUUGGUUGUAAGGCGGUGGGACUGGGUGAGGGAGACUCUCCUCUUCUUCAGAGGGAGGCAGUACAGGGGGAGCUGAACUGGCUGAGGGUCGAGGCGAAAACUCGGUCUGGCUUAGGAGGACCUUGGAGGUAGAAUUAUGAAUGGCUCAUGAACGGAGCCAUGGAGAGUGGAUCCUGACUAAACUUAGCUAUUGAUCAAUGUAGAGAAACUGAUCAGGGUGGCUAGGAGUUUCAGUAACAACCUGCCACACAGCUUGAACAGUUGUGAGGUUCAAUGACCCUUCAGGGGGCCACUUGACUUUAAACUUUGGCCAUUUUAUUUUGCAGAGUGUCUGGAGCUUACCUUUUUUAAGGCGGACUUUAUAAUCCUCUGAACUGAGAGAAAAAUUCUGCAGCAUACAUUGGAGAGGGCUUUAACUUUACAAGGCUGGGAGGAAGUGUUUCUUAUUUUUUUUUUUAAGGCAAUUUAAUAAGAUUUGAGCAUAGAUAUUAAACUUAGCAUGGACAGAGAAACUUAUUUCUUGGGGGACUGGCAUAGUGAAAGAACAGAAUCAAUAUGACUAGAAAGAGCAGAAAAACUUAAAACAGCUAAUACUACUUGCUACAUUGCUGUAGCUUUAAGAUUGAGGGAGGAGGACUAGAGCCAGCCUGAGAUCUUCUGGGUCAGUUUGAUCUAGGCGUUCUUCUUCUUCUUCUAGAUCUGCGCUUUAAAUACUUUUGGUGUCUUUAUGACUUAAAGGCAAAUAGCUUAAACUUAGCUUUUUCUUUUAAGGGUUUAAGGAGUGAGAACAGAGCCAAGUCCUGGAGACGGUGAACUUGCUGUCGCACCAGAAAACGAGAUGUGCAGGAUAGGGGGCAGGGACAAGGCGGAAAAGGACUACUCGGAUCAUUUUUAAGAUGGGAGAGUAGCCACAGAGGAGCAGAGUAAGAAUCUAAACGAGGUAAAGCAGUACGGGCGUACAUUUCUUUACACGGUGUUCUACUGAAGGGCACAGGAAAAGUUACAGAAUGACAAGAGAGACAGACAAGGGGAGGGGCUCCUGUGAUGGGAUCAGUCAGAUGCCUGCCUGGCCGCUCCCCCUGAGGGGACUUGGGCUCCUCUUAACAUUGGCAGGCUGGUAUAAACUUCCGGCUCAGAUCAAGCUAUGCCUGAUGCUGCCUUAAGCCUUAUGAGGUCGCCACGGAACCGCAGAAACUCCUGGAGGGCAGAGCUGUGUCUGCCAUCUUCAUCAUUGCAUUACCACCACCAAGCACAGUGCCUGGCACAAAAGAGUUGCUCAAUAAAUAAAUCAGGAUGAAUGGAUAAAUACAUGGAUAGGCACUUUGAGCUACAGAUGAGUUUAAAUACUUUGUGUUUUUCUUAGUCAAACAUGUGCAAUUAAGCAUGUGAUAAAUGAUAUGAUGACCACACCUGUGUGUUGCCUGAUGUUCUUUGCAAUCACUAAAUGAAGUCAAUUGUGCCUGUUUUGACAGUUCUGUUUUCAACCUAAUGAUCUGUUUCUUUUAACUUCUGGCUGUUGGCUUUGUUUGGGUUUGUUAGCCUGACAAAGUGGCAGACAUUAGUAUUUGCUCUUUUGUUUAAAUGUCAUGAACUUUAAAAAUGCCUUUGCUUUUGGUAAGAAACCCUAGUUAGGACAGUCUAGCAGUCAGGAUGAUUUGGGUUCUGGUGCAGUAACAACAAUCC
rnacentral:lncRNA from 1 species